CAGCCGCCGCGGUAAUACGAAGGGGGCUAGCGUUGCUCGGAAUUACUGGGCGUAAAGGGCGCGUAGGCGGCGCUCCAAGUUAGGCGUGAAAUUCCCGGGCUCAACCUGGGGACUGCGCUUAAGACUGGAGUGCUUGAGGAUGGAAGAGGGUUGUGGAAUUCCCAGUGUAGAGGUGAAAUUCGUAGAUAUUGGGAAGAACACCGGUGGCGAAGGCGGCAACCUGGUCCAUUACUGACGCUGAGGCGCGAUAGCGUGGGGAGCAAACAGGAUUAGAUACCCCAGUAGUCCCUGUCUCUUAUAA
rnacentral:rRNA from 1 species